CGGCGGACGGGUGAGUAACGCGUGGGUAACCUGCCUCAUACAGGGGGAUAACAGUUGGAAACGGCUGCUAAUACCGCAUAAGCGCACAGUACCGCAUGGUACGGUGUGAAAAACUCCGGUGGUAUGAGAUGGACCCGCGUCUGACUAGGUAGUUGGUGGGGUAACGGCCUACCAAGCCGACGAUCAGUAGCCGACCUGAGAGGGUGACCGGCCACAUUGGGACUGAGACACGGCCAA
rnacentral:rRNA from 1 species